UCCGAUAUGGUGUAGGGGUUAGCAUUGGUCGCUUUCAUUUGUUCGAGUACCGACUAGACCCGGGUUCGAUUCCCGGUAUCGGAA